rnacentral:rRNA from 1 species
UACGUAGGUGGCAAGCGUUGUCCGGAUUUACUGGGCGUAAAGAGCGCGCAGGCGGUCUUGUAAGUCGAAUGUGAAAGCCCCUGGCUCAACUGGGGAGGGUCAUUCGAUACUGCUCGACUCGAAGGCAGGAGAGGGAAGCGGAAUUCCCGGUGUAGUGGUGAAAUGCGUAGAGAUCGGCAGGAACACCAGUGGCGAAGGCGGCCACCUAGCCCGCACCUGACGCUGAGGCGCGACAGCGUGGGGAGCGAACUGG